UGGGGUAUAUUGCACAAUGGGCGCAAGCCUGAUGCAGCCAUGCCGCGUGUAUGAAGAAGGCCUUCGGGUUGUAAAGUACUUUCAGCGGGGAGGAAGGGAGUAAAGUUAAUACCUUUGCUCAUUGACGUUACCCGCAGAAGAAGCACCGGCUAACUCCGUGCCAGCAGCCGCGGUAAUACGGAGGGUGCAAGCGUUAAUCGGAAUUACUGGGCGUAAAGCGCACGCAGGCGGUUUGUUAAGUCAGAUGUGAAAUCCCCGGGCUCAACCUGGGAACUGCAUCUGAUACUGGCAAGCUUGAGUCUCGUAGAGGGGGGUAGAAUUCCAGGUGUAGCGGUGAAAUGCGUAGAGAUCUGGAGGAAUACCGGUGGCGAAGGCGGCCCCCUGGACGAAGACUGACGCUCAGGUGCGAAAGCGUGGGGAGCAAACAGG
rnacentral:rRNA from 1 species